CCACAACACUUUCUCAGCCUAUCCAGUAUGCCUUGACGUUACUCCGAUUAUCCUGAUGCAUACACCACAUGAAAUAUUAUCUCAUCUGUAGGCUCAUUUAUCUCACUAACAGCAGUUAUACUACUAAUACUUUUUAUAAUCUGAGAAGCCUUUGCUUCAAAACGAAAAGUUCUAACAAUUGAACAAACAUCUACUAAUUUAGAGUGACUUUACGGCUGUCCACCUCCUUACCACACAUUCAAAGAGCCAACCUACAUGAAA
rnacentral:lncRNA from 1 species